ensembl:misc_RNA Metazoa_SRP Metazoan signal recognition particle RNA
GCCGGGCAUGAUGGUGCAUGCCUGUAGUCCCAGCUACUCAGGAGGCUGAGGCAGGAGAAUCGCUUGAACCCAGGAGGCAGAGGUUGCAGUGAGCCAAGAUCAUGCCACUGCACUCCAGCCUGGGUGACAGAGCGAGACUCUGUCUCAA